GACGGGGGGGGCAAGUGUUCUUCGGAAUGACUGGGCGUAAAGGGCACGUAGGCGGUGAAUCGGGUUUGAAAGUGAAAGUCGCCAAAAAAGUGGCGGAAUGCUCUCGAAACCAAUUCACUUGAGUGAGACAGAGGAGAGUGGAAUUUCGUGUGUAGGGGUGAAAUCCGUAAAUAUACGAAGGAACGCCAAAAGCGAAAGGCAGCUCUC
rnacentral:rRNA from 1 species